rnacentral:tRNA from 1 species
AUUCUUAUAGUUUAAAAAAAACGUUUUAUUUUCAUUAAAAAGAUAAAGUAUAUUUCAUUAUUUAAGAGUU